rnacentral:rRNA from 1 species
GUAGGUGGCAAGCGUUGUCCGGGAAUUAUUGGGGCGUAAGGCGCGCGCAGGCGGUUCUUUAAGUCUGAUGUGAAAGCCCACGGGCUCAACCGUGGAGGGUCAUUGGAAACUGGAGAACUUGAGUACAGAAGAGGAAAGCGGAAUUCCACGCGUAGCGGUGAAAUGCGUAGAGAUGUGGAGGAACACCAGUGGCGAAGGCGGCUUUCUGGUCUGUAACUGACGCUGAGGCGCGAAAGCGUGGGGAGCAAACAGGAUUAGAUACCCUGGUAGUCCACGCCGUAAACGAUGAGUGCUAAGUGUUAGGGGGUUUCCGCCCCUUAGUGCUGCAGCUAACGCAUUAAGCACUCCGCCUGGGGAGUACGGCCGCAAAGGCUG